rnacentral:rRNA from 1 species
GCGGGCGGUUCGCCGCCCGUGACUCUGCGAGAAGUCCAUUGAACCUUAUCAUUUAGAGGAAGGAGAAGUCGUAACAAGGUUUCCGUAGGUGAACCUGCGGAAGGAUCAUUGUCGAGACCGUAGAGUAUCGAGCGAUUCGGAAAACCCGUGAACGAGCGGCGGCGCCUGUCGCCGCGUGAUAGCUGCCCUGGUCGUCGGCCUCAAGGGGACGCGAUUAGGGGCGGAUGAAACUCAAACCGGCGCAGCCACGCGCCAAGGGAAUACAAAGAGACGAGCCCUGCAUUGGGUUCGAUGGCGUGGCGUGUAGUUGCACACCACACGGAUUGAAACGACUCUCGGCAAUGGAUAUCUCGGCUCUCGCAUCGAUGAAGAGCGCAGCGAAAUGCGAUACGUGGUGCGAAUUGCAGAAUCCCGCGAACCAUCGAGAAUUUGAACGCAAGUUGCGCCCGAGGCCAGCCGGCCAAGGGCACGUCCGCCUGGGCGUCAAGCGUCGCGUCGCUCCGUGCCAGCUCCAACCCUCCCGAUGGGUGUGUUGGCGGGGGCAUGGAUGUGUAGAGUGGCUCGUCGUGCCAGUCGGUGCGGCGGGCUGAAGAGCGGGCGAUCGUCUCGUUGAGCACGAGCAGCAAGGGGUGGAUGAAAGUUGUGCCUGUGUUGUAUCGUGCCGCCCCGAGGAAAGAUUGUGCCCCACAGAUGAUCCCAGCCCAAGCGUUUAUCCACCGAUGGCGGCUUGGAAUGCGACCCCAGGAUGGGCGAGGCCACCCGCUGAGUUUAAG